rnacentral:rRNA from 1 species
GACGAACGCUGGCGGCGUGCUUAACACAUGCAAGUCGAACGAAGUGGCGAACGGGUGAGUAACGCGUAAUCAACCUGCCCUACAGAGGGGGACAACAGUUGGAAACGACUGCUAAUAACGCAUACUGAAGGAGGGGAUUGCGUGUGAUUUGCUAUUUGGAGGGGUAACGGCCAACCAAGGCGAUGAUCAGUAGCCGGUCUGAGAGGAUGAACGGCCACAUUGGGACUGAGACACGGCCCAGACUCCUACGGGAGGCAGCAGUGGGGAAUCUUCCGCAAUGGACGAAAGUCUGACGGAGCAACGCCGCGUGAGUGAUGACGGCCUUCGGGUUGUAAAGCUCUGUUAAUCGGGACGCGGUACCGGAAUAGAAAGCCACGGCUAACUACGUGCCAGCCGCCGCGGUAAUUC